UACGGGGGGGGCAAGCGUUGUUCGGAAUUACUGGGCGUAAAGGGCGCGUAGGCGGCCACCGCAAGUCAAUUGUGAAAUCUCCGGGCUUAACCCGGAAAGGUCAGCCGAUACUGCGGGGCUAGAGUGCAGAAGGGGCAACUGGAAUUCUCGGUGUAGCGGUGAAAUGCGUAGAUAUCGAGAGGAACACCUGCGGCGAAGGCGGGUUGCUGGGCUGACACUGACGCUGAUGCGCGAAAGCUAGGGGAGCGAACGGG
rnacentral:rRNA from 1 species